rnacentral:lncRNA from 1 species
ACCUUUGUAUUUUAAAAAAAUGAUCAAAUCUUUUAGUCUUGCAGGCAAAUGUCCCCUGACCUAGAGGAUGAAUUUCAAGACAAAAAGUGUCCCCAGCUGGCCCCUUCCAUUGUUCCAUAUCUGGCCACCAGUCCAACGUCUUGCCUCUUUUCUUCCUGAGGCCCAGUGGCCUCUGUGGUCACUGUAGCCUGAAAUGGUUCACAGAAUCCAGCAGUAGGGCAAGGCUAAACUCCUUAUACCAUCUGUUAACUUUCCAUUCUUCAAAAGAAUUGUGGCCAUAAGAGCAUUGUAAAGAGAGGUUGUUUGAAAACUCAGCCCUGAGUGCAUCCAUGCUUGCUUAAUCCACCAGGGGCUGCCAUUGCUCUCAGGAUCCUGACAGGUCCCUGGUGGUGUCUACCAGGCUCAGCCUGUGCCCCUCCUGUCGUUCACUUCUGAGUGCUCUUGACCCCCUGAACCGGCAGCUCCUCAGAACUUGCUGUUCCUGCUUCCUGCACACUGUUCCCUCUCCUCCUUCCCUCUUCCCAUUGGGUCUUUUCAUUGCAUCUGGGCUGCUUAGAUAGCACUGUGACGUACCUUGAUGUGAGUCUGUUUGAUCUGUCUAGUCUCCUGUCCUUCCAUUCUGGGACAUCUUUUUGCAUUAUUUCAUUUAUUUCCGCCCCCUCCCCACCAUGUUUUUUUUUCUUGCUGUAUUUUCUUGUACUCAAAAUGUUGGACCUUUGGUUGUCAAAUUUUCUCUUUUCCCCCAUUUACUUAUUCAUUCUACUCUUUGAAUAAUUCCCAAAGUAUAUCUUCUAAGCCUUCUGUGGCUUUCAUUUCUGCUACCAUAGUUUUAAUUUCCAAAAGAUUUUUUUUUUAUUACUUCUUUUAAAAAUAGCAUCCUGUACUUGUUUCAUGAGCAUGGUAUGGUGCUGCUCUUCUCUAAGACUGUUAAUAGUGGUUGUUUUCUUCUUCCCCCCAUUGUUUCUUCCCACUUAGGUUGUUUGGGUCAGUUUUCCACAUUGGACACUUUCCAUAGGUGUCCACUGAUCAUUGGCUGCUUGCUCCAAGGUCAGUGUAGCACUUAGAGAGAAGAGGAGAAAGAACAUCAAGAUCAGGGGUCUUAAUGCCCAUGAUCUUCACCUUGUAUACUGGUAUCUUUAGGUCAUUUAUUUUGACUCUCAGUUCCCCAGAGCCCCCAGAUGGACUCCUGUUGGAGGCUGGGCCUGGCCCCUUUGACUCUGAGAUCCCUGGAGGCAGAGAAAAAAGGCUACACCGUGGAGUGCAGGGUAAGGCCUUCCCUGUGUACACUCUGGGCCUCUGCCCCGCGGUGCCUUAGGGUCUCAAGAUCCUGUGAUUACUCUGCGAGGUUGAAGUCCCUGUCUUUUCCCAGAUUCUGCAGUGUCAGGCCAACAUGCU